UACGUAGGGUCCGAGCGUUGUCCGGAAUUAUUGGGCGUAAAGAGCUCGUAGGCGGUGUGUCGCGUCGGAUGUGAAAGCCCGGGGCUUAACUUCGGGUCUGCAUUCGGUACGGGCAUGCUGGAGUUCGGUAGGGGAGACUGGAAUUCCUGGUGUAGCGGUGAAAUGCGCAGAUAUCAGGAGGAACACCGGUGGCGAAGGCGGAUCUCUGGGCCUUGCCUGACGCUGAGGCGCGAAAGCUAGGGGAGCGAACAGG
rnacentral:rRNA from 1 species